GGGCCCGCACAAGCGGUGGAGCAUGUGGUUUAAUUCGAUGAUACGCGAGGAACCUUACCAGGGCUUAAAUGUAAGUUGCAUAAACUAGAGAUAGUUUUUUCUUCGGACUACUUACAAGGUGCUGCAUGGUUGUCGUCAGCUCGUGCCGUGAGGUGUCAGGUUAAGUCCUAUAACGAGCGCAACCCCUAUCGUUAGUUGCCAACAGGUUAAGCUGGGAACUCUAACGAGACUGCCGGUGCAAACCGCGAGGAAGGUGGGGAUGACGUCAAAUCAUCACGGCCCUUACGUCCUGGGCUACACACGUGCUACAAUGGCCGGUACAGAGAGCAGCCACUCCGCGAGGAGGAGCGAAUCUAUAAAACCGGUCUCAGUUCGGAUCGCAGUCUGCAACUCGACUGCGUGAAGCUGGAAUCGCUAGUAAUCG
rnacentral:rRNA from 1 species